rnacentral:rRNA from 1 species
AACGAACGCUGGCGGCAGGCUUAACACAUGCAAGUCGAACGAAGUCUUCGGACUUAGUGGCGGACGGGUGAGUAACACGUGGGAACGUGCCUUUAGGUUCGGAAUAACUCAGGGAAACUUGUGCUAAUACCGAAUGUGCCCUUCGAGGGAAAGAUUUAUCGCCUUUAGAGCGGCCCGCGUCUGAUUAGCUAGUUGGUGAGGUAAAGGCUCACCAAGGCGACGAUCAGUAGCUGGUCUGAGAGGAUGAUCAGCCACAUUGGGACUGAGACACGGCCCAAACUCCUACGGGAGGCAGCAGUGGGGAAUCUUGCGCAAUGGGCGAAAGCCUGACGCAGCCAUGCCGCGUGAAUGACGAAGGUCUUAGGAUUGUAAAAUUCUUUCACCGGGGACGAUAAUGACGGUACCCGGAGAAGAAGCCCCGGCUAACUUCGUGCCAGCAGCCGCCGUAACAC